rnacentral:rRNA from 1 species
CCCUUUGAUACUCUGGGCGGCACGCGCGCUACACUGGUUUAUAUAACGUGUAAUUUGGACGAUAGUCUGUAUAAAUCACUAAUAUAAAACCGUGAAUGGGAUAGUUUAUUGCAACUUACAAACUUUAACUAGGAAUCCCUUGUAGAAGUAGUGAAUUAUACUGCUUCGAAUACGUCCCUGCCGAUUGUACACACCGCCCGUCGUUUCUUCCGACUGGUACUCAUUGUGAAUUGCGAGGAGAUUCUGUCAAAUCGUUGUAAAUGCUGGGGAUUGGAGGAAGAAAAAGUCGUAACA